AUGUAACAAUAAGAAAUAUACUCAAAACCUGGAUUAAUCCUUUUAGUCACAUAGCACUACUAUUAUUCUGAACACUACUGUAAUCUUGUUCAGCAGGAGAACAAUUUGUUGUCUUCUUAAGUCUCCAACUUGUUUUUACCUUAAUCGAAGGACACGUUCACAGAAGGUUUUAAUCGCUUAAAUCCCUGUAGAUAUAACACCAGUUGUGGGGCAACAGGCCUUACGAAGAAAUAUCUCGAGUCGAUCCCUGGUCACCCAAGUGUCUCCGAGGUGCAGUUAUCAGCAAUUAAGGGAACAGUCACCAUCCUGAAGUGAGCCCUCGGAUACAGUGCCAGCUAUGUUUAGAGUGCAAAUAUAGACCCCGAGUCUGGUGCCUGUUGCAUUCUAUUAAAAAGAAAUGUAGCAGAAAUUUAAAAACAGAAAGUGUCCGUCAGCGUGUCAGAAGAUUUGGACUAAAAGGUGGUGUGAUGUGUUUGGAUGUUCAUGGUGGUUAAUCUGCUCCGGAAGGUGUUGCAGUCGUCGAGGUGUGAGAUGGCGUCUGUGUCAGGAGUCCUGCUGCAUGCUGGGAAACUUUCUGAUUCUCUGAAUGUUGUAAUGUCUUAAUUUGGAAUUUGAAAUUGUA